rnacentral:rRNA from 1 species
CUACGGGAGGCAGCAGUGAGGAAUAUUGCACAAUGGGGGGAACCCUGAUGCAGCAACGCCGCGUGGAGGAUGACGCAUUUCGGUGUGUAAACUCCUUUUAUAUACCAAGAUAAUGACGGUAGUAUAUGAAUAAGCACCGGCUAACUCCGUGCCAGCAGCCGCGGUAAGACGGAGGGUGCAAGCGUUACUCGGAAUCACUGGGCGUAAAGGACGCGUAGGCGGGUUGGAAAGUCAGGUGUGAAAUCCUACAGCUUAACUGUAGAACUGCACUUGAAACUUCUAAUCUAGAGUAUGGGAGGGGGAGAUGGAAUUAGUGGUGUAGGGGUAAAAUCCGUAGAUAUCACUAGGAAUACCUAAAGCGAAGGCGAUCUCCUGGAACAUUACUGACGCUAAGGCGUGAAAGCGUGGGGAGCAAACAGGAUUAGAUACCCGAGUAGUC